rnacentral:rRNA from 1 species
UACGUAGGGUGCAAGCGUUGCCCGGAUUCAUUGGGCGUAAGCGCGCGCAGGCGGCUCCGCACGUCCCGCGUGAAAUCGCCCGGCUCAACCGGGCGGGGUCGCGGGCGACGGCGGGGCUCGAGCGAGGGAGGGGCAGUGGGAAGUUCCCGGUGUCAGUGGUGGAAGUGCGUAGAUAGUCGGAGGAACACCAGUGGCGAAGGCGGCUGCCUGGACCUCUGCUGACGCUGAGGCGCGAAAGCGUGGGGAGCGAUCCGG